UACGUAGGGUGCAAGCGUUAAUCGGAAUUACUGGGCGUAAAGCGCGCGCAGGCGGCCUUUCAAGUCAGGGGUGAAAGCCCGGAGCUCAACUCCGGAAUUGCCUUUGAAACUGUCAGGCUCGAGUACGGGAGAGGUGAGUGGAAUUCCCAGUGUAGAGGUGAAAUUCGUAGAUAUUGGGAAGAACACCGGUGGCGAAGGCGGCUCACUGGCCCGUUUCUGACGCUCAGGCGCGACAGCGUGGGGAUCAAACAGG
rnacentral:rRNA from 1 species